UUUUACAUUUUGAUUAGCAAGCAUAUUCAUAAAUCUGCAUUUGCAAUCAAUAUCUGAAAUCAAGUUGUAUGAACUUUGCAAUUCAAUUAGCAAAUCGGUAGUCAGUGAAAACAUCAUAAAAUUUGGUUUGUGAACUUCGCAAUUCAGGAGCUUCAGCUUAGUGUUAGUAUUAUUUGUUGGUUUAAUAAAAAUAGUGUUAGCGCUGAUUCUGUUCAGGUAAUAAUUGUAUUGUUGAAUUUAAAAGAAUUAAUACCUGCUAAUCUCUUGGCUGGUCCUUCUUCAUCCAUGUCCUCUUUUCUAGCACAUUGUUCUGAUUGUAAGAUAAGCUAUAAGGUGCAAUUAAUGUGAUGUUUACUUCUAAUGUUGAUUAGAUGGUGAAUUUGCCAUUGCAGACUAUAUAGUUUGUACAAGUAUCUUCAAACUUUAAUGGCCUUGGUGAUUGUUUCUUACAUAAUUGCAAGUGAAUUUUGUUGUGUUGUGCUGUAGAUUUUAGUUUGUCUUGAAAGGAUUCUGAUCUCGCGGAUAUAUGGCGAGAAAAAUGAGGAAAAUGAUUUGUUGGAUUUGUGAAAAUUCAAACUGUUUUAAUUUUAUCGAGUGUUGAUUGUGAUUAUUGUGACCUUUUUUACUCUGCUAGCAAAAAGCUAAGGAAGAUAGUUUUGUCAAGAAUGCUUCUACAAACUGAUUCGUUUUAAGUAGCAUAUAGCCAACAAGUAAAGUUGGUGUCAUUACAUUCAUCUAAAACAUUAUGUAUGCAUAUUGUUUAUGGUUUGAGAGUACGAAAUGGUGUCCUUCAAUUCAAUUAUGUUCUAACAUUCAAUUAUGUUCUAACAUUGUCCGAAAGCUUGUUUAUGGACUUUUCAGUGCCAUGAUUAUGUACCUAGUUAGUGCAGGUGAACUUUUUAAUCAAGCUAGUGGCUCUAAAACCUGUGAAGGUUGUUCAAAAAAUGAUAAUGUAAUGCUAGGAAAAUAUGAAGGAGCUGAACUGCUGAAGAUACUGCUAAUAAAGAGGAACACUAGGGUUGAAAGUAGUUCAAACGGAAUUGCAGGAAAGGUGAGUUCGAUUUCGCUGACGUUUGAGUCCAGCCAAGUGUAACAAGACGAAAACCACUUCCUGUACGCUCAGGCAUGUUUCUUGACAUGGUUACCAAGGCGGUAUAUACUCCGGAAAUGUCACAAGCAUUACAGCACAACAUUUAGAAUGGAUGUUUGAUGGCAUGGUCAAACAAAUUGCAAUCUACUUUGAUGUUCUGAACAUAGCAAAAAUUGCCAAGGCUUCUAAAGAAGUCAAUAUUGCUGAAGUUGGAGCUGACAUUGAACUGUUAUCAAAGAACUGAAUCUCUUUAUCAUUGUUGAGUUGAUUGGGGAUCAUUACAUGAAUGUAACGGCGGAGGAAAAAUUGAUCAUGAUUUAGCCUAAUUUAUUUACAAAUGACAUUUUCAGAAAAGGUACAUAGUUCCUUCGGAAAGAAAAAGAUGGGUUUAAUUUAUAUGAAUCCUACUCCGGCACCUGUGGAUGCUUUUCAGACAUUUGAUGGCAACUGACUUUGUUUGUGAGAGGCCUUUCGGUUGUGCACUUCUUUAUGAAAGAGGGGUUACGAGAGGCAAUUUGAAGAACAGAGAAGGAAGCAGUUCUUCAAUAAUUUUGAUGGAAUAUUUUCCGUUUUCUAGUUUUUGUGAAUAUUUUUGUUCGUGAUGUAAUGGAUGAAAUAUUUUUGUGAUGUAAUAGAUGAAUGUAGUAUUUUCUUGAUGUAAUGGAUGGAAUAUUUUCCGUUAUGUGAUGUAAU